rnacentral:rRNA from 1 species
UACGAAGGGGGCUAGCGUUGCUCGGAAUCACUGGGCGUAAAGGGUGCGUAGGCGGGUCUUUAAGUCAGGGGUGAAAUCCUGGAGCUCAACUCCAGAACUGCCUUUGAUACUGAAGAUCUUGAGUCCGGGAGAGGUGAGUGGAACUGCGAGUGUAGAGGUGAAAUUCGUAGAUAUUCGCAAGAACACCAGUGGCGAAGGCGGCUCACUGGCCCGGUACUGACGCUGAGGCGCGAAAGCGUGGGGAGCAACGGG